CAUGUACUCCCUCCGUCCGGAAAUACUUGUCAUUGAAAUGGAUGUAGAUACAUCCAUUUUCAUCCAUUUUGAUGACAAGUAAUUCCGGACGGAGGGAGUAACAC
rnacentral:pre_miRNA from 1 species